rfam:Ovis aries breed Texel chromosome 2, whole genome shotgun sequence.
UGGCUCAGAUGGUAAAGCGUCUGCCUACAAUGCGGGAGACCCAGGUUCAAUCCCUGG